rnacentral:rRNA from 1 species
GUGUGUGAAGAAGGCCUUCGGGUUGUAAAGCACUUUCAGUAGGGAGGAAGAGUUGAGUGUUAAUAGUACUCAGCUUUGACGUUACCUACAGAAGAAGCACCGGCUAACUCUGUGCCAGCAGCCGCGGUAAUACAGAGGGUGCAAGCGUUAAUCGGAAUUACUGGGCGUAAAGCGCACGUAGGCGGUUUUUUAAGUCAGAUGUGAAAGCCCCGGGCUCAACCUGGGAAUUGCAUUUGAAACUGGAAAACUAGAGUGUGUGAGAGGGGGGUAGAAUUCCAAGUGUAGCGGUGAAAUGCGUAGAGAUUUGGAGGAAUACCAGUGGCGAAGGCGGCCCCCUGGCACAACACUGACGCUCAGGUGCGAAAGCGUGGGGAGCAAACAGGAUUAGAUACCCUGGUAGUCCACGCCGUAAACGAUGUCUACUAGCUGUUCGUGACCUUGUGUCGUGAGUAGCGCAGCUAACGCAUUAAGUAGACCGCCUGGGGAGUACGGUCGCAAGAUUAAAACUCAAAUGAAUUGACGGGGGCCCGCACAAGCGGUGGAGCAUGUGGUUUAAUUCGACGCAACGCGAAGAACCUUACCUACUCUUGACAUCUACAGAAGACUGCAGAGAUGCGGUUGUGCCUUCGGGAACUGUAAGACAGGUGCUGCAUGGCUGUCGUCAGCUCGUGUUGUGAAAUGUUGGGUUAAGUCCCGCAACGAGCGCAACCCUUAUCCUUAGUUGCCAGCACGUUAUGGUGGGAACUCUAGGGAGACUGCCGGUGAUAAACCGGAGGAAGGUGGGGACGACGUCAAGUCAUCAUGGCCCUUACGAGUAGGGCUACACACGUGCUACAAUGGUAUGUACAGAGGGAGGCAAGCCUGCGAGGGUGAGCGGAUCUCUUAAAGCAUAU